AGCGAACGCUGGCGGCAGGCCUAACACAUGCAAGUCGAACGAAGUCUUCGGACUUAGUGGCGGACGGGUGAGUAACACGUGGGAACGUGCCUUUAGGUUCGGAAUAACUCAGGGAAACUUGUGCUAAUACCGAAUGUGCCCUUCGGGGGAAAGAUUUAUCGCCUUUAGAGCGGCCCGCGUCUGAUUAGCUAGUUGGUGAGGUAAAGGCUCACCAAGGCUACGAUCAGUAGCUGGUCUGAGAGGAUGACCAGCCACAUUGGGACUGAGACACGGCCCAAACUCCUACGGGAGGCAGCAGUGGGGAAUCUUGCACAAUGGGCGAAAGCCUGACGCAGCCAUGCCGCGUGAAUGAUGAAGGUCUUAGGAUUGUAAAAUUCUUUCACCGGGGACGAUAAUGACGGUACCCGGAGAAGAAGCCCCGGCUAACUUCGUGCCAGCCGCCGCUGUAAAAC
rnacentral:rRNA from 1 species